GAUGAACGCUGGCGGCGUGCCUAAUACAUGCAAGUCGAGCGAACAGACGAGGAGCUUGCUCCUCUGACGUUAGCGGCGGACGGGUGAGUAACACGUGGAUAACCUACCUAUAAGACUGGGAUAACUUCGGGAAACCGGAGCUAAUACCGGAUAAUAUAUUGAACCGCAUGGUUCAAUAGUGAAAGACGGUUUUGCUGUCACUUAUAGAUGGAUCCGCGCCGCAUUAGCUAGUUGGUAAGGUAACGGCUUACCAAGGCGACGAUGCGUAGCCGACCUGAGAGGGUGAUCGGCCACACUGGACCUGAGACACGGUCCAGACUCCUACGGGAGGCAGCAGUAGGGAAUCUUCCGCAAUGGGCGAAAGCCUGACGGAGCAACGCCGCGUGAGUGAUGAAGGUCUUCGGAUCGUAAAACUCUGUUAUUAGGGAAGAACAAAUGUGUAAGUAACUAUGCACGUCUUGACGGUACCUAUCAGAAAGCCACGGCUAACUACGUG
rnacentral:rRNA from 1 species